UUGUAUUGUAGUAGUUUGUGCUCGACCCCCGGUAACAAUAGGACGGCGAAUAAUACGAUCCCCAAAUUCCCGAACCCUAAACCCUGCGAUUCGCCAAUUUCCCUGCGUCGCCCCUCCGAUUCCGCUAAUCGCCAUGCCAAAAACGAAUUCGUGACAGGUUUGUUAAACAAAUAUGGCUGUUUUUAUUGCCAAUCGAAGCUUUCAAAUUUGUCUCAAGCUUCACUCUCGUUAUCUCUUAACAUGGUCAGAGAGACAGUAUAGAUGUUCAACUCAUGUCAAGUAUAUUUCGAAGGAUCAGAAGCAAGCCAAGAGAAGUUAUAGAGCUUUGGGGAGUGUGAGAGGUGCUCGCAUUAAUGAAAGUGAAGAUAGACUAUCUGAUGCCAAAACCUUGAAUUCAAGUUCAAUAUUUAAGCAAGUUGAACAAUUGUCAUAUGAUGAUGAUGACAGUGCUACGGCAAAUGAAUUCAUCGAAUGUGAUUACUCCAAUGAUUCUGAAUUGCUUUCUUGUGAAGAAAGUAAUAGUAGUGGAAGGAAUGAAACCAAUAAAAAGACUAUACAAGAUGCAGAAAAAGUGGCAAUUGAAUUACUUGCUGGGAGAGCAUUCACAGGUGCUGAGCUACGAAAGAAGCUACGUGGAAAGAAAUUCCCCUUCAAUGUAGUUGAUACAGUUAUGGAAGAUAUAAAGAAAAGGGGUUUGUUAAAUGAUGGCUUAUAUGCGGAGUCAUUUUCGCAAUCUAGAUGGCUCUCUUCAACUUGGGGUCCAAGGCGAAUUAAACAAGCACUUCUUCAGAAGGGUGUGACUGCGGAAGAAGCAGAUAAGGCGACAAAAAAGGUAUUUGAGGAGGAGAUUGAUCGUAAUAAUAAUAAGAGCAGCAACGAGCAUACUGAACAUGGGAUGUUGCAACUUUCAAUGGAUCGCCUUUUCCUUCAGGCCUCAAAACAGUGGCUGCGAGGUCGAAGCUCACCGCCGGAAAAUCAGAGAGCUAGAAUGAUAAGAUGGCUUCAGUAUAGGGGAUUCAAUUGGAGGGUCACAAAUACGAUACUAAGAAGGCUCGAAUCUCAGUAUCCUCCAUGACCAUGAAGGUUGAGCCUGGUACCUUCUGCAACAAUUGUGUGUCGGUAAAAUGAAUGGAUAGUCCCUGUGGCAUCUCGCUAUUCUGACCUAGUCCGGGUUGAAGUGUUUAAAGGAGAAGUUCAAGGACUAAAAGUCGCAAUAUCGGGUUGGUGCUGGGAUUGAUGAGUUAGCGCAGAUCCAAAUGGUUGGUUCGCGGUCUUCGGUUUCUUCUUGUAUUAAGUUUUUCCUGAACUAGAUCCAUGUCCAACUUAAGCCAUUAGCCAUAAGUAUUAUUUUGUUGCACUCGGCGCACCGAAAUUUGUUUUCUAUUCCAAUCGAGCGCUUUUAGUCUUGUAACCUUAUUUAGUUCUUCCUAAUUUUUAGUUGAAUAUAAUGAUUAAAAAUUUGAUUCUCUAAUAGCUUAAGCUUUUACAGAGUAA